UUCGGAGGCAGAUGCGCGUUAACCUCUUCGGUCCUGCGCCGCAGCUCCGGCUUCCAACUGCCUGCAGAACCCAGCCGGCAGUGACUGAGAGCUGAGCAUCUCUCCUGGAUACCCGCCUCUUCAAAUCCUCUCGGCCACAUCUAAUUUUUAUUCCAUCCAUUGCUACAGUGGCCCUGCUCUGCAGUCUCUGACCAGUUUCAGCGCUGGACGCACGACAGAUGCUCAAUCAACGUUGGGAGGAUGAAUGGCCAGAGAGGAAUCUCCGUGAAAGCCCUGGGCGCAGAGGUGGGCAGAAGGCAGCAGAACGCAAGCUAUACUGGCCGUGCUCCCUGACCCGAGGCUCGCCUCCACCCCAGCGCUUCCCGCCAGCCUGGCGGCAGUGGUCAUCAUGCCCCUGGGCAGGCAGUGGGUGCCAGUCAGCUGUGAGGCAACUCAGAACCAGAGGCUCCCUCUGAUUGUGAGAAAAACAAAUGAGAUCACCUUCAGGGGUGGAGAUUCAUCCUGAGAUUCUCGGAAAUCCCAAGGAAGCGUGGGAAAUCAGCUACAUGAGAUUCCGACAUGUGUGACCACAGGGGUGAACCUGGAAGACAUGACAGCAAGUGAAAGAAGCCAGAUCAAGGAAACAGAAACAAAACCGUGUGUGAUUCCACUUAUGUGAGGUACCCGGGGCCGUCAAACUCAUGGAGACGAGAAGUAGAAUGGUGGUUUCCUGGGGCUGAGGGGAGGAGGGAUGAGGAAUUAGGAUGUAAGGGGUGCAAAGUUUCACUUGGGAAGAUGAAAAGGUUCUGGAGAUGGAUGGUGGAGAUGGCUGAACAACAGUGUGAGUGAACGUAAUGCCACUGAACCGUAUGCUGAAAAAUUGUUAAAGUCAAUUUUUGUUUGU